rnacentral:rRNA from 1 species
AGGUAGGAAUACCCGCUGAACUUAAGCAUAUCA